rnacentral:rRNA from 1 species
GACGAACCGUGCAAACGUUGUUCGGAAUCACUGGGCUUAAAGGGCGCGUAGGCGGGCAAGCAAGUCCGGGGUGAAAUCUUUCGGCUCAACCGGAAAAGUGCCUUGGAUACUGCUUGUCUGGAGGGAGGUAGGGGCAUGUGGAACUUCUGGUGGAGCGGUGGAAUGCGUAGAGAUCCGGAAGAACACCGGUGGCGAAGGCGGCCUGCUGGGCAGUUGCUGACACUGAGGCGCGACAGCGUGGGGAGCAAACAGG